rnacentral:rRNA from 1 species
AGGUGAUAUAUUGAAAAAAGGUAUAUGUAAUUAAUAUUAUUUUAAGGAUUACGAAUCAAAAUUUAAAUAAUGAUAAAAAGAUAAAAACUGUAAUAACAGGGAUCAAUCAUAAUCAUGAAAAUGAUAAAAAGAGAAACAAGUGGAAUGAAACAUCUGAGUAACUUGUUAAAUAACCAACAGGGAUAAUAUAAGUAACGGUGAGUGAAAGUAUUAAAAUCUUAAAGUAUUACCAAGAGGUAAGAAUAAAGUAGUUUCCAACUACUAAGAAAUAAAAUUAAAUUUUAGAUUAAAGUACCGCAAGGGAAAGUAAAGAAAUAGAAUAAUAAAGAGCAGUUAUAGUAUAACGUACCUCUUGUAUAAGUGCGACAAGAAGCAUUAAUAAUUAAUGUGGCUAAUAACCACCUAACCUUUCCAUUGGUUAGACCCUAUCUAUACAUGCUGAAGGAGUAAUCAUCAGUUUGAAGCUAUAGAGACAAUGUAACAUUAUUCCCAUUAAAUUUAAUCGGAGUGCUAGGGUAAUAAUUCUAUGAUAAACGAAAGUGAACUUGCAUUGAGGCUUCGUAAAAAAUGGCCCCGCGAAGCGGGGCGAUACCGGCCUACCGGCCGGCAUUGUUAAGUCAAAUCUUUCUUAUACUGGGAUUUGAAAUGGAACAUAUUUAACACGAAGUAAAGCAUAGUAUCUAAGGAAUGUCCGAUAUAUAAUCGGUAAAUUAUAAAUAAUGGAAAAUUUCUUCCAUAUAUGAUUUUAAUUAUUAAUGAACUUGGUAAGCCCUUAGUUUUCUAAAUAUAAUGUUAUAUUUAGAGGUAACAUAUAAAGAUUAAUCUGAAAUUGUUAUAUCGAACUUAGGGUAUAAGAAGAUUCAAAAAGCAAAUGCAGAUUAGUAAUAGAUCUGAUAAAGUUUUAUAACUUAAUCCGAGAGGAUGCAGACUUGAAUCAUUGUGAUCUUCAUAAUUAUUUAGUUCUUUAAGAGCAAUAUGAUAAUCUAAAGCUUUCGGUAGAUUAUGAUAGAGAUCUUGUUAUAAUACAAGUGAAAAUAAUUAUUGCUAAAUAAAAGCCCACAUAGUGGGUAAUUGGCUAAUAUUGUAAUAUGGGCCCGCCGAAGGCGGGCCGAUAUUAUGGGGCAACGGAAACCCCACAUAUUACAAUUAAGUAAGAUUGCAUGAGCCGUAUGCGAUGAAAGUCGCACGUACGGUUCUAAGGGGGGGAAAAACUGAGAGGUUCUACCUAUCCCAAUUGGGCCAGUGAGUUAUAUAAUUUAGUGAAAAAUUGAAUAAAAAUUUUUAUAUAUAAAUAGAAAUAAAUUAAAUUAUAUAGGCCCGAAAGCAAACGAUCUACACAUGUCCAAGUGUAUAUACAACCUAUUUUAGGUUUAUAUAUGACUCAAUAGGUAAUUGUAGCAAUAAUUUCUAAAGAGGUGUGUGUAGCUGUGACAGACAAAUCUGGUUUGCAGAUAGCUGGUUUUCUGCGAAAUAUAUUUUAGUAUAGCCUUUAUACAUAUUUAAACUGGUACAGCACUUAAAUAACUUUGGGGAAUUAGAAUAUAAUUUUAUCAAAAUAUUUAAACCUCGGAAUCAGUUAAUAAUAAUAUAAGGAGUCAGACUUAUUGCGAUAAGGUAGUAGGUCGAGAAGGAAACAACCUAGACUAUUAAAUGAAUGUCCCAAAUAUUAAUUAAGUGAACAAAAUCUAUCCUACUUUUAUUUUUUUUUAUAAAGGUUGAAAUUAUAUCUAAAAUAUAAUUUUACAUUAUUUUUUCUUCGGAAAAUUUAUACGGGGUAUUAAAUUAUAGACAAUUAGUAAGUGGGUUUGACAAUAAUCAACUUUUAAUGAACAUGUAACAAUGCACUAAUUUUAUAUAUAUAUAUAUUAAAAUAUAUAUAUUUAUUAAUAAUAGAGAAAAUAUAUCGGGUCUAAAUUAAUAACAGUAUUAUAGAUAUAAUCAUUAAGAUUAUAUGGUAGCAGAAUAUAUAAUGGAUAAUUAUAAAGAGAUUGCUGGCUUGAGUAACGAUAGAUAAUAUAAGAUUAUCCCCUUAUUCAUAAGGUUUUACUAUAAACGAACGGUCCCUAAGAUAAUUAUAGAAAUAUAAAAUUGAUGGGUGAAAGAACAAGAAAAUAAAAAUGAACCGUACUGUAGACCGACACAGGUAUGAUUAGCAAAAAGGGAAUGGGAUAACUACUUUGAAUGAACUCGGCAAAAUAAAUCGUGCGACUGUUUACCAAAAACAUAGCUUAUUGCAUACUAGUAAUAGUAAGUAUAAUAAGUGAUAUCUGCCCGGUGUUAGUUUAAUAAAUAUUAUUAUUUAAUAGAUAAUUUUAUAAAAGACUGAUAAACGGCGGUCUUAUUGUGAGGAUCCGAAGGUAGCGGUGCGACAAGAUAAAUUCGUAAUAAGAAUAAGGUGAAAAUCCUUUACAAUAAAAGUCAUAUUUGUAAACCUAAUUCAACAUGCAUUAUGAGUAAUUAUUUUGUAUGAAGCUUGAAUGACAACGGCUAUAAACUUUAUCUGAUAUAAGUGAUCUGGUCUAGGUUAGAACGACAUGAUUAGUUUAUCAAAAUAGUGAAUUAAAAUCUCGUUAUAGGAAAGUAACAUGAUCAGUUUUUGGUUACUAUAUAUGAUUUAAAUAAUAUCGACGCUACGGAUAUUAUUAUAUGACUUAAUAAUAAAAAAUCAUCGGGAUAUAGCUAUAAUCUAAAUCGUUCAUUAAAGUCUUAUUACGGAAACUUGGUAAGCCUUAUACAUACCUAUAUUUUUAUAGGAAGUAAUAUAUAAAAUUAUAUAAAAUGGAAAUUAUUAUAUAGUGUAGAAGGUAAAGGAUAAAUAUAAAAAGCGAAUGAUUUUAUGUAAUGUAAAAUAUAGAGUUAAAUAACUCAUUCUGAAAGGAAGCUAACUUAUAUAUAAGGCCAUAAAAAUUUUAUGGUUUGAGCCGUAAGCAGUGAAAGUUGCACAUACGGUUCUAAAGGGGGGAAAGCUUGAGAGGGCCUACCUAUCCUAACAAAUUCAUUGACGUAUAAUUGACGUCCUGCAUGAAUGAAUAUACGAUGCGAUAACUGUAUCCAAAGUAGACUCAGUGAAAUAGCAAUUGCGGUGAAAUUAGUACUAUAAUAUAUAUUAUAUGCCGGGUUGGUGUAAAUCCAACUUUAUAGUUUUAAUAAUGAUCGCCCCGCGAAGCGGGGCCAUGAGUAGACAUAUUAAAUGUCUUAAAUGACAGAUAAGUAUAAUAAAUAAGAAUACAAUCGAAAUAAUACUUACCCCCUUAAGUAUAAGGGUAAAUUACAUAUAGGCAAUAUGUAGUUUAAUCACUAUAAAUAAAAAGGUGAAAACGGUUAAUGACAUCUUAGUUAAAGACCGUCGGCAGUUGUAUAUGUCGCUACAGACUGGUUCACCGAGGUUAGACUGAAAUGUCUGUCUAAAUGUACAGUCGGAUUCUGUAAUAUAAUAUUUAUAUUAUAUAGAGGUGAAAGAUGUAUAAAAAAUACAACUUAUUAGUACUUAAGUAAGAAACCUUUGUAGGUCAAACCUACUUAAAUUAAUCAGAAUUGGAAGAUGCCGUAUAUCCGUAGGUUGACAAAAAGACCCUAUGCAGCUUUACUAUAUCUUUAUUUUGAUUUUUAAUCAUAAUAUUUUUAUGAUUAGCCUUUUUUCAUUUAUUUCAGCAGAUUAGGUUAUAUUUAUAUUUUAAAUCAAAUGAGAUACCUAUAUAAUUGAAAAAAGAAUCUAAUUAAUACAGUCAUAAUUCCCCGUCCGAAAGGACGGGCAUUCUAUAAUAUAGAAUGUUAGUUAUACUAAUUGACUUAAGUUUAACUUAUUUAAGAAAGAGUAAAGAGGUUAGUUUCGAUGGGGCGUCGACAUCAGCGAAAGCAUCUGAUGUGUCUAAUAACAAUGAUCUUGAUUAUUCAAGACUAAAUGUUUAAUUAAAUUUUUUAUUUAAUAGUAAAUUACGUACAAUAAUUCUAUAUGGUAAAUAGAAUAAAAGAUUAUAAGUAAGGAUAACAACAUAAUUGUGCGAUGAUAAUAACACUAACAAGUGGAAUUAGUACUUACGUAGAGUGUAGUGAACAGGCAUAAACAAAUGGUAUGGAUGUCGAUAACGGAUUAAAGUUACGCUAGGGAUUAAUUGUUAGUUCCUUUAUAUAGAAAUAUAUAUUUAUCUACGCUUUAGUUAGAUAACUUUCAUUUGAAAGAUAUGGCCGCCUUUGGCGGGAAUUGGGUGAAUUACAUAGAACUCUUUAUAUAUAAAGACAAUAUGUAGCGAAGCAUAUAUUAGUUAAAUUUUUAAAGAUAUAUGAACGUUCAACGACUAGUAAUUGAUAAACUAACAAUAAUAUUACCACGAGCGCCCAAUACCUAUCAAUUAUCCCCCCCGCUUCGCGGGGGGGAUGAUUAUAUCCUCUAUGGGGAUAAAUUAUUAGGUAAAGAAAUAGUCUGAACUAUAUAGUAAUAUAUAGAUGUUGUUAUUAAAAAAACAACAAAUAACAAAAUUGAACAGGGUAAUACCGCGUGAGAGUUGAUAUCGUCAGCGGUGUUUGCCACCUCGAUUAAUAACGAUAGUCGAGUUUAAAUAGGUUUAAUUGCAAGAAGUCUAAAAUAUAUGACAUAUUAGUUUGAUAUAUAAAAUGAUGAUUUGCAGCGAAUUAUUAUUUAUAUAAAUAAUAUAUAUAUAUAUUAUAAGAAUAAUAAACGUUCAACGACUAGUAGGUGAGUAAAAUAACAAUAUCCUACCACGAAAUACCUAGAAAUAUAUAUAUUUAUAUUUUAAGAUAUAGUCUGAACAAUAAUGAAAAUUAUUGAAGUUAAUAUUAAAUAAGUUAACGAUAACAAAUUGGUCGUCUAGACUCGUCCUCCUGGUCGCAGCAACUAGGUAGGGUAGGACUGUUCGUCCUCUAAGGAGUUACUUGAGAUGGGUUAAUUACGACGUGAGUCAGUAAUGAUUUUAUCAUCUAUGGAUUUUUUUCUUAUCUGUUGCCUUAAGUGUACGCAAGGAUAAUAAGGUACAUUCCUAUGGUUAAUUAUAAUAUUUAGCUAAGAAUGUUGUGUUUACAUAUUGAAUGCAUAUCAAAUAUUAAAUCCUUCAGAUAAGUUUAUACAUUAUAGACUAUAAUGUAUUAGUUAAUUUGUUAUAUUUGCAAAUAUACUAAUUUAUUUACUCAUAUUUUAUGAGUAUAAAAAACAUAUACCU